UGACACUCGCCCUCCUGACGGGCCGGGGGUGGGAAAGAAGCGGGGCACAAAGCCCCAAGCACGCAGAUAACUCGCUGGGAAGCAGCAGAGCCCUUUAAUCCCGGUUUCCUAUCGGAAACCACCCGAGCCCCUCACACCUCACCGUCCACGACGCGCUUUUUGCCCCGCUCUGGCGGGCAGGCCGUUUGAUUUCCUUUUUUUCUCUUUUAUUUUUAUUAUUUUUCUUCUUUCAGAGGAGCACAGCGAGCCGUGCCACCAGCAGUGGCACCGUUGCCAUCCCCAGCCCUGGGAAGCCCCCUUGGAAACAGCCGGCUCCUUCUCCCAGCCCGCUUCCCACCGCCGCUCGGCACGGACUGGAAGAUUAAUGAGGCUUUUUUAGCAACACCUGUCAUUUUGAGCUGUCGACACAACCAAUUAAUACUUUUAAUUACCCCUACAAGGAAACUAACCAGAGCCUUCCUGAUUCGAUUUGGCCAACGCGUUUCGCCCCCCGUGAAACGAAGCGGGGGGGGGGGCUCCUCUGGGCGCCUUUACCUCGGCUUGGGCUUCCCCUGGAGGACGGGGAGAUAUUUAUUUGGGGAGAGAAAAGACGGAAAUAAAUUUGUUUUCGGUCCUUUAGCAACAUUCGCCGCCGCCUCGGAGAAGCAGAGCCCCGGCUCGGGGCAGAUCUCAGCGCUCCCCAGGCCUCGCCGAGUUCUGCCAUAAAGGCGAUGUCCCACAUUAAAACAAUAUGAAUUCGCGGAUGGAUCCUGAAUAUGAAUGAGAUCCAGCUGUCAGAAGCCCGGGAUACCUCCCGCGUCUCAGCCUGCCCGUGCUGCCCCCUUCUCCCCCCCGCAUGUGUGCAGGGCGCUGGGGCUGGGGGCAAGCAGGUGGACGGCGGCGACCAUCUCCACCCGCAAAAAAAAAAAAAAAUAAAAAAAUAAAAUAAUAAUAAAUAAAAUGAAAUCGGUUCUUGGCAGGGCGGAGGUGGAGGGCAGAGCCGUGGUGAGCCUGGGAUGAGCAAAGCGGGCUCCGCGGUUUGGCGGUGCCGGGGACAUCGCGCUGGGUGCCAGCAGCUCUGCCCCUCCGGCCGCUGGGCGCAGGAGGAAUUCAGGGCGCUGGAGGCGAUGCUCUCUGCUCGCCUGCUCCUCUUUGCGCCCUCAGAUACGGGAUCUCGCCUAGAUGAGUUUCUACAGGGAGAUCAGAUAAUGGAUCCCUCCGGAUUACCUCUCUAAAUUAACUUUUAGAUUUGUUUUUAUAGUCUGUUGAGACCCUGACAAAAGAGGCUAUAGCUCGAUGGAGAUAGGAGAUAAACAUUUAAAGCAAUCUCAUUACACGGGAACGACUGAGGAACUCUCCUUGCAAUCUACUCUAGAUAACGAGGCUGCCUGAAGGAACAAGUAAAGCCGAGAUAUUUACUUCUUUUCCUAUUAAAUAAACCUCAAUAACUGCAUUGACUUUGCGCAGUGUUUACUACAUUUCUAUUCAAUGCUUGGGUAAAUGCAUCCCUAAAGGUAGAGUAAAUAAUUGCACUGAUCUCAACAAGGGAAAUGUGUAGGCAUCUGAAGUGUACUAAAAAUAAACGGAGGCGAAACAGCCUGGAGAGAGGACAUCGCGCUCGUUCGCUGCGAUUAAAGCCUCUGCUUUCACCCGCCCGCACCGGGGGCUGCCGAGCGCGGCCGGGUGACACCGGGAGCCGGCUGCGGCUCGGCC